CAUACCCUUGAGUAAAAAAAGUGACAACUGUUAUCAGUUGCAACUAACUCAAACUGAAAGGGAAAUUGAUUUCCAUAGUGAAACAGUAUAGGCCACUCAAUUUAGAAUGCUGUGAAGGCCUGGUGUAACCAGAAAUCAAAACAGUAAAUAGUAUGUUUCAGAAAAAUCUUUGCGAUAACCUUUGUAGGCAUAGGAUAACAGUAAUAAAUUCUAACACUUCAUUGUCCUUCGAUAUUCAUCUCAAUGAAUACAUCCCAACUCAAACUACAUGGUAGACCUUAUAUAACCCAAAUUCUCUACUAGACUCCAAGCUAACAAUUUUUCAGUAUUAGGAAAUACAAGAAAGAAUCACAUCUAAUCUAUAUAUGUCCAUGAUAGACAGAAGAAUAAGGGGCAUUAAAUAAUCAGAUGUCUGCUUUUGUAUACCUUUUGUUUAAUAUGACUUGGUAUAAAGCCUUCCCCACCCAUAGGUUAUACAUAUAUUCUAUUAACUCUUCCAAGUUUUGGUAUUAAUCUUUUUUUCAGUUACUUUUCGGCAUCUAGCACAAGGUAGGAAUUCAACUUUAUUUUGUUCCACGUGGAUAGUUGGUUACACCUACCCUUUUCCCACUGAAUUAAAAUGCAACCUUGGUCAAUAUAUUAAAUCUCCACAUUUAUUGGGUUUUAUUUCUGGGCAUUCCAUCUGUUUAACUUAUCUAUUCCAAUGCCACAGAAGUUCUACACUAUGUUUAAACACCUGGUAAGACAAGUCCUAUCUAGCUUCUUUUCUUAGCUAUUUUUGGACACUGGUCCUUCCACAGAAGUUUUGAGAUCUUUUUCCCCCAAUUUCAAAAACAAUCCAUGAGGAUUCAAAAUAGAAACACAUUAAAAGUAUUUAUUAAUUUGAGGAGAAUUUACUUAUUUUUAAAUAUUUAUUUAUAUAUUUAUUUGGCUAUGCCAGGUCUUAGCUGCAGCACGGGGGAUCGUUGUUGCAGCGUGCAGAAUCUUUAGUUGCAAUUUUAUAAAUUCUAACUUAAGAACAUAGUUAUGCUUUUAUAUUUGCUUAAUCUUGUUUCGUGUUCUUCAAAAAAAUUUUUAUAGAUCUCGUACAUUUCUUGUUAAAUUUAUUCCUAAGGAUUUUUGGUCGCAGUAGCUUUGGAUACUACUAUGAAAAGAAUACUCCCUGCCACUUCCAUUUCUACUGGGUAUUACUAUGAUAGAGAAAAAUAUUUACACACUUAUUUCAUAAUCUUAUUUCAUAAUUACUUUACUAACUUAGCUAACUUAGGUAGCUGUUUUCCAGUGUCUCUCGGGCUGGCUUAGAAAAUAUAUAAAAUUUGUUUCCCUCCUUUUCAAAUAUUUAUUCCAAUCAUUUAAUCUUGUCAUAAUACUUUCCAACCAAUGCUAAAUAAUGAUGGUGGUAGAGAGGGAAUCCCUGUUAAUUCCUAAUUUUGAUAGAGAUAUCUCUGGAGUAUUUUCAAUUACAAUAGUGCCUGUAAGUGGCAUCAGAUAACAGCCUCUAUUAUAUUUAAAUAACUGCCUCCCUUUCUAGGUGCACUUUCAUUAGGAAUGAUUUAAAAUUUUAUCUAACCUACCACUAUGAUUACAUGACUUCUGUCCUGUAAUGUGGUUGAUAUAAUCAAUUAUGUUGACAGAUUUCCUGAAAAUAAAUCACGAUUACAUUUCUGUGAUAAACCCUGCUGACAACAGUCCAAUACUCUUUUCAUAUACUGGCAGGUUCAAUUUGCUAGUAUUUUACUUUUGAAUUUACAUUAAUAGCUGAGAUUAAACUACUGCUUUCUUUACUGAACUGUUACCUCUCCUUUUCACCUUCCCUUAUAUAAAGGUCUCUAUCUGAUUCAUAUGUUGUCUCUAUAGUUUUCUUCAGAUAGGAUACACCAGUAUCUUUUUUCAGCUUGACAGGUGAAGAGUCUCUUGUCGGAGAGUAGGAUUCUUGAGUUGUAGUCCCUUUUUGUCCACGAAUGGAUGUCAUUUCACUUCUACUUUUUUAGGUUUUAAGUAAGACUGUCUGAUGUCAAUUUGUUUUUUUUCUUUAUAUGUAACUUGUCCUUCCAACCUGGAAGCUUAGAGGAUUUUUACUUUUUCCUCGGAAUCCAGGAACUGUAUCAGUCUAUACACAGGGGAGAAGGGGUAUGUACUUUCUCUCCGUGCCUCCUGGCUGGGCAACAGUCAGCUAUUUUGAUCUGCGGUCUUGAGUCUUUCUUCAUUAAAGAUUCCCCUUUAUUAUUUGUUGAAUUACUGCCUCUCCACUUUUUUUUUUCUCCUUUAGAACUCCUUGUAUAUCAGAUCUCCAAGAUUUGUCCUUAAGCCUCUAAUCAUUUCCCUCUUUAUUUUAUCUCUUAGUACUUUUUGCUCUGUGUAAUGACAUAGUUCUUCCCUUUAAUUUUCUAGGCCAGUAAUUUGGAACUUAAUAGCAUUUGUCCUCUUUUCAAAUAAUCUAAACAUUAAAUGUGAAAAUCAUUUUUUCUAGUUCUCAAGAAUUUACGUUAUAAUUCAAUCUGCUUUUUAAAAAUAAUUCAAUCUGCUUAAGUAUUCUUAUCAUUUUGCUCAAGUGAGUAUUUCCUUCAAUAAUUCUGUUUUGACUAGAUUUUACCUAUUCUAGUGGUCUGCUUCCAUGACUUCUGUCUGGCUGCUGGUCCCUUUUAUGUGCACUGUUAUGUUUACUGGGUUAGCCCCGACUCUUAUCUACCCUUCAGGCUAGACCCGACUGCUGGGCAGCCUUAAUGGCAGCACGCUGGCAGUGCUUGGGAGCCUCAUGCCCAUGGUGAAGCAAUGGUCUGGCUGGCAAGCUGUCAGCCUCCCAUCAAGACGAUGAAGAAGGAAGCCUCUCGACCCCUCAGGCUCCUCAGCUGCAAAGGCCAUCAUUCAAGUUACGACUUCAUCAUCUCAUGUAUAGGUUCCUGAUUUCUUUGUUGGUCUCUCAGACUCUCAAGCCACUCUCAUUCAAUCUGCAUGAAACUUACCGGAAAAAGAGCCCUGUGGGUUACUUUGGACUACUACAUAAAAAGCAAUAAAAGGCUGUCAUGAGAGAACUUCUCAUCUCCUCCUGGGCUCUGAUGAAAACAUGAGACCAGUUCGCCUCACCCCGAGGGUACAUCUCCAUUCUCGACUGUGGCUUAGCUACCGCACAGCAUUGGCUCCUAGGCUACAGGGUGCCCCACCACUCAUGAUGCAACUAUCAUCUGGCCCCUUCUGUUUCAGCGUCGCCCU